rnacentral:rRNA from 1 species
UAGUCGUAAACCUUUUAACUACCCACUAAACCGCCAGGGAAACUACAAGCCCAAGCUUAAAACCCAAAGGACUUGACGGUGCCCCAACCCACCUAGAGGNGCCUGUCCUUUAAUCGAUGAUCCACGUUAAACCUCACCACUUCUGGCCCAUCCGCCUGUAUACCUCCGUCGUCAGCUUACCGCGUGAGCGAUUUAGUGACCCUAAUGCCUAAACCCGCCAACACGUCAGGUCAAGGUGCAACAAAUGAAGUGGGAAGUGAUGGGCUACAUUUUCUAUUAUAGAAUAUACGAGAGACAAAUAUGAAACUUUGUCGGAGGGUGGAUUUAGAAGUAAAAAGAAACAAGAGAGUUCUUUUUAAUAAGGCACAGGGGCAUGUACACACCGCCCGU